GAAAUAUAACUUAAGAACUUCUAAUUCUUUCUAAAAUGUAUAAAUCAUUAAUAUUUCU
rnacentral:tRNA from 1 species